rnacentral:rRNA from 1 species
GGGGAAUUUUGCGCAAUGGGGGAAACCCUGACGCAGCAACGCCGCGUGCGGGACGAAGGCCUUCGGGUUGUAAACCGCUUUCAGCAGGGAAUAUAGUGAAGGUACCUGCAGAAGAAGCUCCGGCUAACUACGUGCCAGCAGCCGCGGUAAUACGUAGGGAGCGAGCGUUAUCCGGAUUCAUUGGGCGUAAAGCGCGCGUAGGCGGCCCGUCAAGCGGGGUUUCAAAUCCAGGGGCUCAACCUCUGGCCGGACCCCGAACUGGCGGGCUCGAGUGCGGUAGAGGAAGGUGGAAUUCCCAGUGUAGCGGUGAAAUGCGCAGAUAUUGGGAAGAACACCGAUGGCGAAGGCAGCCUUCUGGGCCGCCACUGACGCUGAGGCGCGAAAGCUAGGGGAGCGAAC